CCAAGAAGUUGUCAGUAUCUUGCUGAGCUGGACCACUGCCUAGCUUUCUACCUUUUUUCUCUGGAUUGUGGACACUUCCAUGGAUUCUCGUCUCUUUUUCAACGCGCCAAACAGUUGAUUUAUGCACCUGCAAGGCUGCUGCUGUUCUAUUGGUGACAUUUUCUAACAAGAUUGGUCCACCUUCAGCUUUCUCUCGUUCAAAGAAUGAACGGACGUUGCUUAUCAUUAAUUUAUGAGAACUUCUGAAAGUGUUUUGUCUUCUUUUUCUUUGUGAAAGGUCUUGUUCGGUGUCGGAUGAAACGUUGACUUCGGCUAGCUUUGCAACCACCAAAGAUGAAGACUCAGACAUAAUGUGCUGUACAUGUAUGCUGCAGUACUUCUUCCCAAUCUCACCAACACCUUGGAAAAUUGCAGACCAGCUCCUUCGCUAAUGUUUUAAUUGAAAUCUAGAACUUGAAUCUCAGGAGCAAUGUCUUCUUGAUUACUCCACAACUGCAGGGUUUCCCGUAACUACGACUAGGCCAAGACUAACAUUUGAAGUUGAACCGCAGCAUUCUCCACCUCUAGUUACUAUUGCAGUCGCCUCAAACAUCACAAGUUGUUCUGGAAGUCCAAACCAUAUUCCAGACAGUGAUGAUGAAACGAUGGAUGUCAUUUCUCUCAGUUCUACAGUACGCCUCCUUCUGCCAGUUCGCCAGGCGCGAAUUCAUUGUACCAACCUUUAAUACCCGAUAUCCACGAUAAAGUAACCAAUUCUGAAACAAAACCAGAGGCGUGGAUUGAGGUUAGUCGAUCAGUUUUGGUAGAAGAUAUUAUUCGUCGUUUCAAGAUGUCCCCGAUGUUACCAGCAAGCGUGUUAACGUCACCGUUAGUGGAGUGUCAGCAGUGGAUGUAGACGGAGUUUUCCGAAAUGUACUGACGGCGUUCUGGGAUGAGGUAAUGGAUAGGAAGUUUGACGGAGAGAUGAAGAGAGUUGCCGUGGUUGAUCCCAAUACCACAGAAGAAGAAUUUGUUGCAAUCGGGCGCAUUCUGGCUUCAGGUCUUAAGCAGGUUGGGUUGUUUCCACUAAAGUUUUGUAGGGCAACGGUAGUAUCGGGGACUCAUCGGAGAAAAAGUAACAGAUGACUGCCUAGUUACAUCUUUUUUCAACUUUAAUUGUCGGAAACUGAAAAAUAACUUAUUCGACAGGCAGCAAGGAUGGAUGUUCUGGACGAUGGCACUCAAGAAGAACCUAUUGAUUUAUUUAGUCAGUUUGGCGUAAAGCAACUGCCCACAGCUGCAAAUCUUUGCGACAUUGUGCGACAAGUCGCUCACUCUGAACUGUUGGCAAAGCCAGCCUUUGUCAUGGAAGCAAUAAAGAACGGCGCGGCCUCUUGCCUACCAUCGACUAGAUGAUACGAGGAAAAAUUGGCAGAACUUACACCAUCUGCAAGAAAGGUGGCCGCUAUGAUAGCAUAGCCAG